CCAACCACCACCUAUGACGGCUUUCAUCGGCGUUCCAGGAACGAUUUCCAGGACAGCCCAACAACCCAACGAGAGACUCUGUUAAUUGGUGGACAGCUCUUUGCGCUUUCUUGACACACCCGGAUUGAUUGAACAGGAUUUCUCAAUGAUGUUUGGGGCUGAAGUAUCUGGGCAGUUUCCUGCAAAGUGGCCUUCAUAUUUCAAGGACAAAGUCACCACAGAAUGCCAGAGUCUUCCCCGAAGUCUCCAUGUCGAGGAGUUGCUGGCUUUUGACACUGAGGCUGAGAAUG